AAAAAAGCAUAAUUUGAAGAUGGCAGUGGACAGUGGCUGUGCCUUUGUAAUGAGUACAAUGAUGUACAGUACAGGGGAGAUUUUAUUCAUUUUUAUUAAGGAACAAUUUUUCAGAUAU